UAGGGAAUCUUCCACAAUGGACGCAAGUCUGAUGGAGCAACGCCGCGUGAGUGAAGAAGGUUUUCGGACCGUAAAGCUCUGUUGUUGGUGAAGAAGGAUAGAGGUAGUAACUGGCCUUUAUUUGACGGUAAUCAACCAGAAAGUCACGGCUAACUACGUGCCAGCAGCCGCGGUAAUACGUAGGUGGCAAGCGUUGUCCGGAUUUAUUGGGCGUAAAGCGAGCGCAGGCGGAAGAAUAAGUCUGAUGUGAAAGCCCUCGGCUUAACCGAGGAAUUGCAUCGGAAACUGUUUUCUUGAGUGCAGAAGAGGAGAGUAGAACUCCAUGUGUAGCGGUGGAAUGCGUAGAUAUAUGGAAGAAUACCAGUGGCGAAGGCGGCUCUCUGGUCUGCAACUGACGCUGAGGCUCGAAAGCAUGGGUAGCGAACAGGAUUAGAUACCCUGGUAGUCCAUGCCGUAAACGAUGAGUGCUAAGUGUUGGGAGGCUUCCGCCUCUCAGUGCUGCAACUAACGCAUUAAGCACUCCGCCUGGGGAGUACGACCGCAAGGUUGAAAC
rnacentral:rRNA from 1 species